rnacentral:rRNA from 1 species
GACGAACGCUGGCGGCGUGCUUAACACAUGCAAGUCGAACGGUAAGGCCCUUCGGGGUACACGAGUGGCGAACGGGUGAGUAACACGUGGGUGAGCUGCCCUGCACUUCGGGAUAAGCCUGGGAAACCGGGUCUAAUACCGGAUAGGACUCCGGACUGCAUGGUCUGGGGUGGAAAGCUUUUGCGGUGUGGGAGGGGCCCGCGGCCUAUCAGCUUGUUGGUGGGGUGAUGGCCUACCAAGGCGACGACGGGUAGCCGGCCUGAGAGGGUGACCGGCCACCCUGGGACUGAGAUACGGCCCAGACUCCUACGGGAGGCAGCAGUGGGGAAUAUUGCACAAUGGGCGCAAGCCUGAUGCAGCGACGCCGCGUGAGGGAUGACGGUCUUCGGGUUGUAAACCUCUUUCAGCAUCGACGAAGCGGAAGUGACGGUAGGUGCAGAAGAAGGACCGGCCAACUACGUGCCAGCCGCCGCAGUAA